AACUGAAGAGUUUGAUCAUGGCUCAGAUUGAACGCUGGCGGCAGGCCUAACACAUGCAAGUCGAGCGGAUGAGAGGAGCUUGCUCCUCGAUUCAGCGGCGGACGGGUGAGUAAUGCCUAGGAAUCUGCCUAGUAGUGGGGGACAACGUUUCGAAAGGAACGCUAAUACCGCAUACGUCCUACGGGAGAAAGUGGGGGAUCUUCGGACCUCACGCUAUUAGAUGAGCCUAGGUCGGAUUAGCUAGUUGGUAG
rnacentral:rRNA from 1 species